AACGAACGCUGGCGGCAGGCCUAACACAUGCAAGUCGAACGCUCUAGCAAUAGAGAGUGGCAGACGGGUGAGUAACGCGUGGGAAACUUCCUAGGGGUACGGAAUAGCUCAGGGAAACUUGGGGUAAUACCGUAUGAUGCCGUAAGGCCAAAGAUUUAUCGCCCUUAGAUGUGCCCGCGUCGGAUUAGCUAGUUGGUGAGGUAAUGGCUCACCAAGGCGACGAUCCGUAGCUGGUUUGAGAGAAUGACCAGCCACACUGGGACUGAGACACGGCCCAGACUCCUACGAGAGGCAGCAGUGGGGAAUCUUGGACAAUGGGCGCAAGCCUGAUCCAGCCAUGCCGCGUGAGUGACGAAGGCCUUAGGGUUGUAAAGCUCUUUUGCCGGGGACGAUAAUGACGGUACCCGGAGAAUAAGUCCCGGCUAACUUCGUGCCAGCCGCCGCGGUAAAAC
rnacentral:rRNA from 1 species